ACUGGGAUCGGGAAACCGGUUGAUCGGCUAAUACCGGAUAACAUUUUGAACCGCAUGGUUCGAAAUUGUUGACAAAGGCGGCUUCGGCUGUCACUUAUGGAUGGACCCGCGUCGCAUUAGCUAGUUGGUGAGGACGGCUCACCAAGGCAACGAUGGCCGACCUGAGAGGGUGAUCGGCCACACUGGGACUGAGACACGGCCCAGACUAACGAUCCUACGGGAGGCAGCAGUAGGGAAUCUUCCGCAAUGGACGAAAGUCUGACGGAGCAACGCCGCGUGAGUGAUGAAGGCUUUCGGGUCGUAAAACUCUGUUGUUAGGGAAGAACAAGUGCUAGUUGAAUAAGGCACCUUGACGGUACCUAACCAGAAACGGCUAACUACGUGCCAGCAGCCGCGGUAAUACGUAGGUGGCAAGCGUUCGGAAUUAUUGGGCGUAAUUGACCAUAGCGCGCGCAGGUGGUUUCUUAAGUCUGAUGUGAAAGCCCACGGCUCAACCGUGGAGGGUCAUUGGAAGGGAGACUUGAGUGCAGAAGAGGAAAGUGGAAUUCCAUGUGUAGCGGUGAAAUGCGUAGAGAUAUGGAGGAACACCAGUGGCGAAGGCGACUUUCUGGUCUGUAACUGACACUGAGGCGCGAAAGCGUGGGGAGCAAACAGGAUUAGAUACCCUGGUAGUCCACGCCGUAAACGAUGAGUGCUAAGUGUUAGAGGGUUUCCGCCCUUUAGUGCUGAAGUUAACGCAUUAAGCACUCCGCCUGGGGAGUACGGCCGCAAGGCUGAAACUCAAAGGAAUUGACCAGUCACGGGGGCCCGCACAAGCGGUGGAGCAUGUGGUUUAAUUUCGAAGCAACGCGAAGACCUUACCAGGUCUUGACAUCCUCUAAAUCCCUAGAGAUAGGGCUUCUCUUCGGGAGCAGAGUGACAGUGUGCAUGUCGUCAGCUCGUGUCGUGAGAUGUGGGUCAGUCCCGCACGAGGCGCAUCCUUGAUCUUAGUGCAUCAUAGUGGCACUCUAAGGUGACUUGAUCUGCCG
rnacentral:rRNA from 1 species